rnacentral:lncRNA from 1 species
CAUAGCAACAGCAGCGUAGCUGAACAUCUUACGGAUGGCCCAGGGCUCCAAAGGCUCGUUUCCUAAGUGAGAGAGAGCCUGGCUGAAGCUGUAUUACCAUUCAUUCUCCAGCCUCCGAAGUCUCAAAGCAUCACUUCCACCAUACUCUAACUGUCAAGACAAACACAAAGGCCCAGAAAGAAGAAUACACUAUCGAUGUUCCUUUUAAACAAGUAUUUGAGUAAAAGCGAUGUUUCCAAUGUGUGUCAGAAAGUGAAUACUUGUAUAUUUCCGCAUGGUUAGAGCUGAGCUUUCCGAGCAAAUUUUACUGGGACCCGGUUGAAAGACAGGUCUUGGAAGUGAAAUGAUGACUGACUAGAUGCUGAGUUUGCAGAGUAAACCACUACCCUGAAAUCUGGAAAGGCAGGUGCACCCAUAGAUCCUCAGCUGAGAUCCAAUUACCUGAAAUAGAAGCUGCCAUUAGGAACACUUAAAAGAGCCUGUUCUGCUGGGACACAGAAUCACUUGCUCCAUCUCAUACAUUGAUGAUGAUUAAUUUGUAUGUGUACCUUCCAAAAAAAGAUGGUUGUGUUUGAACGGAGGCCUUCUGGACAGGAAAAUAUGGAGAGUGCGUGCUUUGGAUUCAAGACUGGGAAUGAGGGGACCAGAAACCUAUUCUGUGGCUGU